rnacentral:sRNA from 1 species
AUGUACCGCGCGUACACUCCGGUUCCGUCGCACCGUCCACACCCACCUGACGACUGUUCGCUACGUUGUGUUGGCC